UGAAUCUUAAAAUUAUAUUUUUUGACGACUUAAUUUUAUUCUGCCAAAAAAGAAUAAAUUUUAUUCUAAAAGAAUAAAUUUUAAUCUUUUCAUUCAUAUCUCAGAUUAUUUUUUAGUCUUUUUUUGACUUAAAUUCAAAUCUUUUCGGAGACUUGUUUUUAUUCUUUACUUUCUCUGAGAGAAAGAAACGAAUAUAGUGCACAGUAAUGUGUCCGUGCUGUGUGAGAGAGUGAGAAAAAGAAUUGUGCGUCUGACGUGAGAUGGGCAGCCAUUUUGGCCGUGAAUGCCAAGCUGUUAGCACCAGAGGAAGAUGGAUAGCAAAUAACAACUGCGAAGACCAAGAAGAUAUCUGUCAAGUUGAGAAGUCAAUGGGAUUUUAGGUUUGUGCAAGAUAGAGGGAGGACCAAGUGAGGAAGGCAUAAAAACUGUCUGGCAGAAUGCGGAAUCAGGAAAUCAGGAUAAAAACAUUUGGAGAUUCUAGACGCUGAAGCCCUCUCCAAGUGUUUAAAUACGAUCAGUUCAUUGAAGACGUAAUCGUCCUCAAACAUCAUCUCACGAAGUGAACGGAAGAGAAUGGGAUGAUGAUGGAUUUUAACUCUAAAAACCCAAACAUCGGUGAUAGUCGCUAAGCUCCUGUUCAUCAUAGUGAUUGAUAUUAAAGAUAAACCCAAUAAGCGGCUACUGAAGAAAAUCUAUGAUCCCCUUACAAUAGAAGACUCACGAGAUUGUAUCCUGUUUAUCUUGCUGAAUGUUUUGAUUCUCCCAUACCGUGAGUGUGGUGAUUAAAAAAUAGCAUAAUAUAUGUUAGAAUAAUCUUAAAAUUAUGAAAAAUAAAGCUUAAUUUCAUUCUGCAUAAUGACUUAUUUAUAUUCUGUUUAUUCUUGAAAUUAGUCAAAAUUAAUCUUGAAAUUAAUCUUCUACAGUCUUAAAUUUAAUCU